rnacentral:rRNA from 1 species
GUUGUAUGGUUAAGUGACAAAGCGUAUACGGUGGAUGCCUUGGCAGUUAGAGGCGAUGAAGGACGUGUAAGUCUGCGAAAAGCUGUGGUGAGCUGACAAAAAGCAUUUGAGCCACAGAUGUCCGAAUGGGGAAACCCACACAUUUAUGUGUAUCAUUAACUGAAUACAUAGGUUAAUGAGGCGAACGUAGGGAACUGAAACAUCUAAGUACCUAUAGGAAAAGAAAUCAACCGAGAUUCCCUUAGUAGCGGCGAGCGAACGGGGAGUAGCCCUUAAGUUAUAUUGGUGUUAGUGGAAGGCUCUGGAAAGUGCCACGAUACUGGGUGAUAGUCCCGUACAUGACAAUGCCAUUAUAGUGAAAACGAGUAGGUCGGGACACGUGUUAUCCUGACUGAAUAUGGGGGGACCAUCCUCCAAGGCUAAAUACUCCUAACUGACCGAUAGUGAACCAGUACCGUGAGGGAAAGGCGAAAAGAACCCCUGUGAGGGGAGUGAAACAGAACCUGAAACCGUAUACGUACAAGCAGUGGGAGCCUCUCUUUAUGGGGGGUGACUGCGUACCUUUUGUAUAAUGGGUCAGCGACUUAUAUUUAGUAGCAAGGUUAAGUGAAUAACGGAGCCGUAGCGAAAGCGAGUGUUAACUGCGCGUUGAGUUGCUAGGUAUAGACCCGAAACCCGGUGAUCUAGCCAUGGGCAGGUUGAAGGUUGAGUAACAUCAACUGGAGGACCGAACCCACUAACGUUGAAAAGUUAGGGGAUGACUUGUGGCUGGGGGUGAAAGGCCAAUCAAACCGGGAGAUAGCUGGUUCUCCCCGAAAUCUAUUUAGGUAGAGCCUCGGACGAACACCAUUGGGGGUAGAGCACUGUUAAGGCUAGGGGGUCAUCCCGACUUACCAACCCUUUGCAAACUCCGAAUACCGAUGAGUGCUAUCCGGGAGACACACGGCGGGUGCUAACGUCCGUCGUGAAGAGGGAAACAACCCAGACCGCCAGCUAAGGUCCCAAAAUAUUGCUAAGUGGGAAACGAUGUGGGAAGGCUAAGACAGCUAGGAGGUUGGCUUAGAAGCAGCCACCCUUUAAAGAAAGCGUAAUAGCUCACUAGUCGAGUCGGCCUGCGCGGAAGAUGUAACGGGGCUAAGCAAUAUACCGAAGCUGCGGAUUUGAACUUAGGUUCAAGUGGUAGGGGAGCGUUGUGUAAGUGGUUGAAGCUCAAUUGAGAAGUUGGGUGGACAUAUCACAAGUGCGAAUGCUGACAUGAGUAACGAUAAUGGGGGUGAAAAACCCCCACGCCGGAAGACCAAGGUUUCCUGUCCCAUGCUAAUCAGGGCAGGGUAAGUCGGCCCCUAAGGCGAGGCAGAAAUGCGUAGUCGAUGGGAAACGGAUUAAUAUUUCCGUACUUGUAUAAUCAGUGAUGGGAGGACGGAGAAGGCUAGGCAAGCCUGGCGUUGGUAGUCCAGGUGAAAGUGCGUAGGCUGAGUGUUUAGGUAAAUCCGGACACUUAAGGCCGAGACACGAGACGAGCCACUACGGUGGUGAAGUUGUUGAUGCCCUGCUUCCAGGAAAAGUCUCUAAGCUUAUGAUUAUGCGAACCGUACCCCAAACCGACACAGGUGGUCAGGUAGAGAAUACUAAGGCGCUUGAGAGAACUCGGGUGAAGGAACUCGGCAAAAUUGUACCGUAACUUCGGGAGAAGGUACGCCUCUGUGCGUGACAGGACUUGCUCCUUAAGCGCAUGGAGGCCGCAGUGACCAGGUGGCUGGGACUGUUUAUUAAAAACACAGCACUGUGCAAAAUCGAAAGAUGACGUAUACGGUGUGACACCUGCCCGGUGCCGGAAGGUUAAUUGAUGGGGUUAUCUUUUAGAGAAGCUCUUGAUCGAAGCCCCGGUAAACGGCGGCCGUAACUAUAACGGUCCUAAGGUAGCGAAAUUCCUUGUCGGGUAAGUUCCGACCUGCACGAAUGGUGUAACCAUGGCCACGCUGUCUCCACCCGAGACUCAGUGAAAUUGAAAUCGCAGUGAAGAUGCUGUGUACCCGCACCUAGACGGAAAGACCCCGUGAACCUUUACUAUAGCUUGGCACUGAACAUUGAACCUACAUGUGUAGGAUAGGUGGGAGGCUUUGAAGCAUUGUCGCCAGAUGAUGUGGAGCCAUCCUUGAAAUACCACCCUUGUAUGUUUGAUGUUCUAACAUAGGUCCCUAAUCGGGAUUAUGGACAGUGUCUGGUGGGUAGUUUGACUGGGGCGGUCUCCUCCCAAAUCGUAACGGAGGAGCACGAAGGUUAGCUAAUCACGGUCGGACAUCGUGAGGUUAGUGCAAUGGCAUAAGCUAGCUUAACUGCGAGACAGACACGUCGAGCAGGUACGAAAGUAGGUCAUAGUGAUCCGGUGGUUCUGUAUGGAAGGGCCAUCGCUCAACGGAUAAAAGGUACUCCGGGGAUAACAGGCUGAUACCGCCCAAGAGUUCAUAUCGACGGCGGUGUUUGGCACCUCGAUGUCGGCUCAUCACAUCCUGGGGCUGAAGUCGGUCCCAAGGGUAUGGCUGUUCGCCAUUUAAAGUGGUACGCGAGCUGGGUUUAGAACGUCGUGAGACAGUUCGGUCCCUAUCUGGUGUGGGCGUUGGAUGAUUGAGGGGAGCUGCUCCUAGUACGAGAGGACCGGAGUGGACGAACCGCUGGUGUUCGGGUUGUCAUGCCAAUGGCAUUGCCCGGUAGCUACGUUCGGAAUCGAUAACCGCUGAAAGCAUCUAAGCGGGAAGCGAGCCCCAAGAUGAGUCAUCCCUGACCUUUAAGGUCUGGAAGGGUUGUUAUAGACUAUGACGUUGAUAGGCAGGAUGUGGAAGUGUUGUAAGGCAUUAAGCUAACCUGUACUAAUUGCCCGAGAGGCUUAACCAUACAACGCCUAA